AGUGAACGCUGGCGGUAGGCCUAACACAUGCAAGUCGAACGGCAGCACAGUAAGAGCUUGCUCUUACGGGUGGCGAGUGGCGGACGGGUGAGGAAUACAUCGGAAUCUACUUUUUCGUGGGGGAUAACGUAGGGAAACUUACGCUAAUACCGCAUACGACCUACGGGUGAAAGCAGGGGAUCUUCGGACCUUGCGCGAUUGAAUGAGCCGAUGUCGGAUUAGCUAGUUUGCGGGGUAAAGGCCCACCAAGGCGACGAUCCGUAGCUGGUCUGAGAGGAUGAUCAGCCACACGGGAACUGAGACACGGUCCAGACUCCUACGGGAGGCAGCAGUGGGGAAUAUUGGACAAUGGGCGCAAGCCUGAUCCAGCCAUACCGCGUGGGUGAAGAAGGCCUUCGGGUUGUAAAGCCCUUUUGUUGGGAAAGAAAAGCAGCAGGUUAAUACCCCGCUGUUCUGACGGUACCCAAAGAAUAAGCACCGGCUAACUUCGUG
rnacentral:rRNA from 1 species